rnacentral:rRNA from 1 species
AGAGUUUGAUCCUGGCUCAGAAUGAACGCUGGCGGCGUGCUUAACACAUGCAAGUCGUACGAGAACGCUUCAGCUUGCUGAAGCUAGUAAAGUGGCGUACGGGUGAGUAACGCGUGGGUAAUCUACCUUCGAAUUGGGGAUAACGUUGCGAAAGUGACGCUAAUACCGGAUAAUAUCAUAGAGACCUUGGUUUUUAUGAUCAAAGAUGGCCUCUCCUUGGAAGCUAUUGUUUGGAGAUGAGCCCGCGUCCCAUUAGCUUGUUGGUGGGGUAAUGGCCUACCAAGGCUACGAUGGGUAGCUGGUCUGAGAGGAUGAUCAGCCACACUGGAACUGACACACGGUCCAGACUCCUACGGGAGGCAGCAGUGAGGAAUUUUGCGCAAUGGGGGAAACCCUGACGCAGCAACGCCGCGUGAGUGAUGAAGGCUUUCGGGUCGUAAAGCUCUGUCAAGUGGGAAGAACUCCCGUGAGGUUAAUACCCUCAUGGUUUGACGGUACCACUGAAGGAAGCACCGGCUAACUCCGUGCCAGCAGCCGCGGUAAUACGGGGGGUGCAAGCGUUAUUCGGAUUUACUGGGCGUAAAGCGCGCGUAGGCGGCCGUUUAAGUCAGAUGUGAAAGCCCGGGGCUCAACCCCGGAAGUGCAUUUGAUACUAUUCGGCUUGAGUAUGGGAGAGGGAAGUGGAAUUCCUGGUGUAGAGGUGAAAUUCGUAAAUAUCAGGAGGAACACCGGUGGCGAAGGCGACUUCCUGGACCAAUACUGACGCUGAGGCGCGAAGGCGUGGGUAGCAAACAGGAUUAGAUACCCUGGUAGUCCACGCAGUAAACGGUGAUCACUAGGUGUAGCGGGUAUUGACCCCUGCUGUGCCGCAGCUAACGCAUUAAGUGAUCCGCCUGGGGAGUACGGCCGCAAGGUUAAAACUCAAAGGAAUUGACGGGGGCCCGCACAAGCGGUGGAGCAUGUGGUUUAAUUCGACGCAACGCGAAGAACCUUACCUGGAUUUGACAUCUCGGGAAUUUCUAUGAAAGUAGAAAGUGCCCUUCGGGGAGCCCGAUGACAGGUGCUGCAUGGCUGUCGUCAGCUCGUGUCGUGAGAUGUUGGGUUAAGUCCCGCAACGAGCGCAACCCCUAUCUUUAGUUACCAGCACGUCGGGUGGGGACUCUAAAGAUACUGCCCCGGUCAACGGGGAGGAAGGUGGGGAUGACGUCAAGUCCUCAUGGCCUUUAUGUCCAGGGCUACACACGUGCUACAAU